GCGAAAAACCGAUUUUUGUGACCUUUGACCUUGAAUAUCUUGAGACGCGGACACGAUAACGAUUGUGACUUUUGAGACAACAUUUAGAAUGACAAAACAAAGGUUCAUACCAAUUUGCAGCUUAUUAUCUUUCAUUCCGAGGUGAAAGCCCUAAUAUGACUGGGCUAUUAAGCGCGUUCGGUUAUUACCACGGACCGCUCGGACUUGGAUUAUAUCUGUCUUUAAUGUUUGUUUAUUUAUAAAAAUUAACAUUUCGUCGUAGUUUGUAUUGAAAAAUUUCAAUACCUACCUUGUUAUACUUCUAUAAUUGGAUUUAAAUAAAAUUAUGGGUAUGGUAUGCAGAUAACAAAUGAAUAGGGGGUGUGCAUAUUUUUGGAAUGAGAUAUCUGGUGGUGACUGGGCAAAAUCAUUAGUAAGACUUUGGAGACAGUUUUUUCAGGAGCGAUGGACAUUCAAGCUAUAGAUAUGAAGAAAAAGGUCAAGCUUUUUAAAAAUCUGGCCAUGUUUACAACAUAUGAAGCGGAUUGGUUUCAUUACUUCUAAAUUAAUGAGACAAAUUUCACGGAAUUUACCACCUUAUAAUAUCGAAAUUAUGUAAGAAAGUUGUAUGAAGCAGAAGAAAUUUAUUCCUUCAAGGGUACCGACUGGGACAUCAGCAAGUCCCAGAAGUAUUUUAUAAAUGUCCCGUUCAGCAAUAAAUAUUCCGGCAUGGAAUUAAUUGGGAAUAUAAAGCCAGAUCAGUGUAUUCAAGAGAAAAAAAUACCAUAUUCGGGAAAAGGACUUGCAGUUUGUCAGUCGGACCCAAUGCAUGUUGCUUUUCUGGAUAGAGUUAUAGAAUGAGGAGUCAGUGCAAUUAUUGAAAAUCAAAUGUCCAUUCAUUGGCAAGUUUCUAGUUAGUUAUAAACAUAAUUUUUAUAAUUGAUUAUAAUUUCAGGUCAAACUAUUUCUGUAUGAUUGGGAGUGAAAUUAUUAGGAGUUUAGAGCUUGAUGUAAUUAAUAAUCUGGCAUUAGUUCAGAACACAUUUAUUGAAAUUAGCGGUAAUCAUAGACAAAUAAAGAGAAGACUGACAACUGCGUAUUCGUUUGAAAUGUUGAUGCUAGCGACCCGAGGGCCAGGGUUUGGAACUAAUGUAUCGCUAUUUCCCACAAAAACAUAUUUCAUCCUUAUCUACUGAAAAUGAUGAAAUGUUUUAGGCGUAAAUUCCAACCUCUCUUUUGUGUUUCAGUUCUGUUGUCUAUAGGCCGCUACAAGGACUCAUCGUCCUUCAUAAGCUAGUUCGUCUAUUCACCGCUAGAUGAACCAAUUGUCUUCUAUAAUCUAGUUCAUCUAACUGCCGCUAGAUGGACUAAUCGAUUUGUUGUAGGCAUGUUUGAA